rnacentral:misc_RNA from 1 species
UAGAGUUCCGCGAGUUCUGCCGUAGCAGCAAUCCAUAGCUGAACUAUAAGGCAAAUUUUAAAAAGACGGAUCGGGUUAUAGAGCGAUUGCAAUGAAAUACAAAGUUACGAUUGAGACUGCCAUCGCUGCUACCAAAUAUGCAAUCCUUCCAAUUUGUUGCUGGCCACCCCCGAUUGGAGCGAAUAAAUGGGCUGUCCGACGGCAUAAUAUUUGUGGUUGGUUAGCAAUAGUUCUCCUGGUAAUCAACGUGCUUUCUAUCAUUUACAAUAUCUACUUGAACAGAAAUGAUAUCGACAGAUGCAUAAAAAUUUUGGCAGAAAUGGGAGCCCUUAUGUCGACAUGCAUGAAAAUACUAAUCUGCAAGAAAGAACGACUUCGUCUUCAGGUUUUGGUAGCUGAAAUGGAGAAUUUCAUAAAGCAAGCUACUGGCGAGGAAAAAGAAUUAAUUCAGGCCUACGUCGAUAGAUGUUUCGUUUUACACACGACUGUUUUUGUCAGCUGUAUCCUCGGCCCAAUAUUUUUCAUCGCUGGCCCUAUUUUCCAGCCACAACCAUUUCCGGGUGAUGUUGCUUACCCAUUCGAGGUGAACUCAACUUGGCUGUGGCUCUGCAUGUAUGUUAUGCAGAGUAUUUCCAUCUUCCAAGUUGGAAGCAUGGUCAUGAUAGACAUUUUGUAUGCCAUGUUAUUGUGGUACACAGGCCUAAGGUUUGAGUUGCUAAAUCUGGAGUUCCAAAAAGUAACUAACACGAACGAAUUACGCGGCUGUGUAGGGAAGUAUCAAAAAUUAAUAAGGUUGAUUUUAUUUCAGAUAUACGGAGAAUUUGACGGCCAGUACUCGUAUUAUAGCCGUAGAAAUUACGAGCAUCGCCAUGUUUGCCGUCACAACCGGAGGUUUCGUAAUUAUUCGGCGCCCGGGUAAAUACGACGUGGUAAAGUUCAUUUUCUUUGAGUUAGUAUCGGCAAUGGAGCUUCUUUUAUUUUCAUGGCCUGCGGACCAUUUGAUCAAAGUGAGCGAAGAAGUAGGCGCCUCUGUUUUCAACAGCGAUUGGAUCGGCA